rnacentral:lncRNA from 1 species
CCCAAAUAAUUUUAUUCUUACAAAAUUACCUUUAUGAGUUUUCUAGAAUUAUAAAGCCAUAAUAGAAUCACAAAAUAAGGCCCGACAUGCUUCCAUAUCACUUCAAUAUUAAUCUUGACAUAAACGAACUUCGUACCUUAAUCAAACUUCUCGUGGAAUUUGCUUGUUGUGUUUUACAGACCAUUCAUCACCUCUGGGAUACGUCCAAUCACACACCGCGAGAGAUGGUUGCAACACUCUUCCUUUAGCAACAACUGUGAAUUACCCAGAGUCUAUCACCCUCGUUUUACGGAUUAUAUCCAACCAUAUAGACGCAUCAGAUGGUUAAGUGAUUAUUUUCUCUGAAUGCUC